rnacentral:rRNA from 1 species
UACAGAGGGUGCAAGCGUUAAUCGGAAUUACUGGGCGUAAAGCGCGCGUAGGUGGUUUGGUAAGUCGAAGGUGAAAUCCCCGAGCUCAACUUGGGAACUGCCUUCGAUACUGCCAGGCUUGAGUCCGGGAGGGGAGAGUGGAAUUCCCAGUGUAGCGGUGAAAUGCGUAGAUAUUGGGAGGAACACCGGUGGCGAAGGCGGCUCUCUGGACCGGUUCUGACGCUGAGGCGCGAAAGCGUGGGUAGCAAACAGGAUUAGAUACCCCUGUA